GUGGGGAAUUUUGGACAAUGGGCGCAAGCCUGAUCCAGCAAUGCCGCGUGCAGGAAGAAGGCCUUCGGGUUGUAAACUGCUUUUGUACGGAACGAAAAGGCUCUGGUUAAUACCUGGGGCUCAUGACGGUACCGUAAGAAUAAGCACCGGCUAACUACGUGCCAGCAGCCGCGGUAAUACGUAGGGUGCAAGCGUUAAUCGGAAUUACUUGGCGUAAAGCGUGCGCAGGCGGUUUUGUAAGACAGACGUGAAAUCCCCGGGCUCAACCUGGGCAUGGCGCUUGUGACUGCAAAGCUGGAGUGCGGCAGAGGGGGAUGGAAUUCCGCGUGUAGCAGUGAAAUGCGUAGAUAUGCGGAGGAACACCGAUGGCGAAGGCAAUCCCCUGGGCCUGCACUGACGCUCAUGCACGAAAGCGUGGGGAGCAAACAGGAUUAGAAACCCCGGUAGUCC
rnacentral:rRNA from 1 species